UCAAAGAAGCAACAAACAUGAGAAACAAAUUAAGUCACGGGUGUUAAAGAUUUUGCAAACAGUGCAAGUGAAGAAAGCCUAGAAAUGAUAAGUAGCUUCAUGGAUACGGAGCUAAUCCAUGAUCUAGCAGACUGCAGACUCGUAUUUGGUGCAACUAAGACAAUUUGAAGUUAUACGAGGAUAAGUAAUGGACAAAUGUCUC
rnacentral:lncRNA from 1 species